GUGAAUGUGGAGUGACGUUAAUUUAGUGAAGGGGAAGUCUUUUUAUUAUUUUUAUUCCAAAUGAGUAAAAAGUUCAAUAUAAUAGAGCAGGAAACUCGAACGAAAAAUUUCUAUAUACUUUCUGAGAUUAUGUACUGGGAAAUUCACGUUAAGUUAUACUGGUCAUCAUGUGAAAACUUUGUGCAGUGAACUAACAAAGGAACUGAACAUUGUUAUUUGUAGAGCUCAUAAAUACUGGUGAAUUGAAAGUGGACCUUUUAUGUCAAAAAACGAAGGCUUGCAGAGAUUUCAGACAUCUGCUGGCCAGCUACAAUGCUACUUUAACUAUUUCGGAACCAACAAGGGUAUAGAUCAUGAUCUUCUACUAGCCAAACUUUACAAAUAUGGAAUUCGAGAGAACUCCUAUGACUGGUUCAAGUUGUAUCUAAAAAACAGAAAGCAAAUCGUACAACUGAACUUGAAAGAUACAGCAGCAUGAUCAGAAGCUUUGGAGACGGCUAUCGGAGUUUUACAGGGUAGUAUAUUGGGCCCAAUACUCUUCAUUAUAUUUACAAAUGACAUAAAAAUGGUGGUAAAUUCAAAUUCCGCUCACAUAGUUAAUUAUGCUGAUGAUACUAACCUAUUGUUGACAGGUGCAAACUUACCACACAUAAUAAAACAUGGUAGUA